CUCAGUGUUAGGCGGCUCCUCUUCGACCACCUGCUCUUCUCCUGUGGGGGGGGGUGUGAGACAGCAAGAGUGAGCUCACAUACGUUCAUAGCUCAACAAGUCGUGGGGAAUAAUGUGGCAUGAACUCACCAAAGGUGGGAGUUCAUGUAGUGUAAGGCUAAUCAAUGGAAUAAAGGCUGAGGCUGAGCAUUGCUUUUAUAAGUUGGUCAAAAUUUUAUUAGCAAUUACUAAGUGUAAGUAAAUACCAAACCUUAAUAAUAAUAAAGAAAAGUAAUAGUAAAAUAAUCCCAAAUGCGAUGCAAAUGUCAAAUUGAAUUUAAGUUCCAUAAUUAAUCAUGUGAGGGUCCGAGCCGCUCUUGACCGUGAGCACGGCUAGUAUACUAGUUUUACACUCUGCAGAGGUUGCGCAUCUUUACCCACAAGUCGUGUAUCCCAUGUCGCCUGGGUUUGCAAGGCCCUUAGACACUACCGAGGUGAAUGGCUAGGGAUCCACUACGAGGCCUUUACAAAGUUCCACUAGCUUCCGAAAACCCGCUACAGUUUAUAGGAAGAUCCAGUACAGGGUUCCUGGCUGACAGCCAUCGCAGCAAAAUCAACCAGGGACCUCCCCGCACUGACCUCUCCCCUACUGCCCUUGCCCCUUUCGGGUAAGGUAGUCUUCCACUAGCUUUCCUAAUUAGUCAGCCAAGGGCGUCCCAUUAUACCCUUGUGGUAGCACUGUUUUCCCGGGUGGUCGCUCCAUGUUCCCAUUAAUUUAAUGAUCUUAACAUGAACAAUAAUAAUAACAAGUUAAUAACAGAAUAAUCAUGAAUAGUGUAUCUCCAUACCCAAUCCACAUAAAGCAAUAGCAAGUACUACCCAAAAAUAUUUCAGGGGUGAACAAGGUAUAGAGGUAAUCAAAACUGGGGUAACAUAAAGGCUCCCAUCAAAAUUAUCCUAUGCAGAUCAUUAAAAUUAAUAAGAACAUGGCUGGGAAAGUAAGUGAUCAAGGGCACAACUUGCCUGCAAUGAGCUCCUGCUCAGCUACUUCUACUUGUUGAAGCUCAGGUUCCACAGUGGGUUGCUCGUCUACUCGCAUCAACACAAUACAUACAUAGUAUAGCCAAAAUCAACAUCACACCAAACAGAUGAAUGAAAUAUACAGUAAAAAUCUACACAUUAAAAUGAAACCAUAGGAACUGGAAUCACUAAAUUUGGAGUUAUAGAUUUCAAGUUAUGAAUUUUCCUAAGGUUUAAUGUGAUUAAAAUGGGAUUAAAUGCUAAAUAAAUUUUCUUACUGUUUUCAUGGCAAAACAGAGACUCUAGUGUAUAGACAAUAAUGUUACAAAAAUUUAGAAACUGGAAUGGGCCAAUUUGGAGUUAAGAUGAAUUAAAUAUGAAUUAAACGAGUUUCUGAAAUUAUUUUUGUAUAGAAAAUAAACUUCUAUAAUUAAUUAUCGGUUUUCACUGCUCUCUGGAUCAUGCGUACUAAUACAGAAAAGCUCAGGGGCUAACUUAUAAAACUCGCCCAGACUCAGGUAACUGUUAUGGUGGACGGUGGGUUCUAUUUAAAACAAAUGGAGGGCUCAUUUAUAAAUCCGCAGAGCCGAAGGGGUAUGGCGGCCCAUCAGCCGUUUGAUCUAAAAUCUGCGCACCAGAUUAGACUCAUGCUAGUUACUCAUCCGCACUCUCCCCUGGCCGUUGGAUCCGAGAUCCACAGUUGCGAUUAGGCUUUUAAAAAAAACUGAACUGCUAUGUGAUUUGGGACCGACAGAUUUGAUCCGAGGCUCUAGAACAAGCACCCAGACGAAACAUUAUCUUUAGACCAAAUCAGACCGUCCGAUUAAAAUCUACUGGCCACAUGGUAUUUCUUCCACCUCUCUCUCUCUUUCAGCUACACCCAGGUCGGUCAUGGCUAUCGGGCCGUGAUGGAGCCAUUACUGGCCUCCCUCAAAUCUCCCUCAGUUACGCAAUUAUCGCCUGACAACAUGCUAAAUGGUGCGGAGAGCGCAGCGAGCAGCCCAUACCUGAACUGGAAAACAACGGCGACGACAGCACCAGAGUGUACGGUGUCGGAGUCCCUCCCCUGGCAACGAACAGGUCGCGCCAGUAGAGCUCCUCGCGUAUACGUAUACUCCUUCCCCAGGGGCUACGGUGAGACCCGCC
rnacentral:lncRNA from 1 species